AUUGAACGCUGGCGGCAGGCCUAACACAUGCAAGUCGAACGGUAGCACAGAGAGCUUGCUCUCGGGUGACGAGUGGCGGACGGGUGAGUAACGUCUGGGAAACUGCCCGAUGGAGGGGGAUAACUACUGGAAACGGUAGCUAAUACCGCAUAACGUCGCAAGACCAAAGCGGGGGACCUUCGGGCCUCACACCAUCGGAUGUGCCCAGAUGGGAUUAGCUAGUAGGUGGGGUAAUGGCUCACCUAGGCGACGAUCCCUAGCUGGUCUGAGAGGAUGACCAGCCACACGGGAACGGAACAACGGUCCAGACUCCUACGGGAGUCAGCAGUGGGGAAUAUUGCACAAUGGGCGCAAGCCUGAUGCAGCCAUGCCGCGUGUAUGAAGAAGGCCUUCGGGUUGUAAAGUACUUUCAGCGGGGAGGAAGGCGGUGAAGUUAAUAACUUCACCGAUUGACGUUACCCGCAGAAGAAGCACCGGCUAACUCCGUGCCAGCCGCCGCAGUAA
rnacentral:rRNA from 1 species